UAUGCUGGGAGUCCUCCUGGAGUGGCAGCUGGUAGGGAACAGUGGUUUGUCAAAGUGAUUAGCAAAGUUGCUUACAAGCCAAGACUGUGAGUCAUCCUCAUUGGAGCCUGGUGUCCCAGAAAAGACUGAAUCAUGUACUUCCCUUCCUUGUCACCAGAACUCUGACCUCCCUUUGGAGGUUUUCUGAGGACAUCUGACACCAGGACCCAUUGAGGUGUGAAGGGACAGUCUGGACUCGGGAUACCUGUCAUGGUGCUCUGGGGUCCAUCCUCCACAGAACCUCAGGAAGAUGACAGGCCACCCAGAGGCACCAACUCCAUGAUAACAAAACGAGAGAACCAUGCUGCUGAGGGAAAGCUCUAGAGUUGGCUGGCUUGUCAAGUUUCUCCUCACAUUUGCCAUCCCCACUUCAUUUCCUGACUUGUAAACAGGCGGGAUGAGAGCAGGUGACUGAUGAGUUUGAUAACCAGCGAGCUCUGCUGUGCUCAGCGUAUCCUGUUAUUGUGAAUCUCAAGUCCUGCUUUGGCAUCGGCUGUCCUAUUUUCCCUCUUUUUUUUUUUUUUUUUUUUUCUGGCUGACUCAGAAGAUCCUGAACCUUGGAAUCAGCACUGGAUUCAAAUUCUAGUUCUAACAACUGAACUUCAGUUUCCAUUUUGCCUGAAAAUAAAUAGAAAUA